rnacentral:misc_RNA from 1 species
UCUCCGUUGGUGAACCAGCGGAGGGAUCAUUACAGAGUUGCAAAACUCCCAAACCAUUGUGAACGUUACCUAUCCCGUUGCUUCGGCGGGCGGCCCGGGCCCCGCGCCCGGCGCCCCCCGGCCCCCCGUGGGCGCCCGCCGGAGGUAAACCAAACCCUUGAAUUGCAUGGCCUCUCUGUGUCUCCUGUACUGCAUAAGUCAAAACUUUCAACAACGGAUCUCUUGGUUCUGUCAUCGAUGAAGAACGCAGCAGAUCGGGAAAAGCACAAGGCUGAACUC